GAUGAACGCUGGCGGUAUGCUUAACACAUGCAAAUCGAACGGACUCUUCGGAGUUAGUGGCGGACGGGUGAGUAACGCGUGAGAAUCUGGCUUUGGGUUCGGGACAACCACUGGAAACGGUGGCUAAUACCGGAUGUGCCGAGAGGUAAAAGAGAAAUUGCCUGAAGAUGAGCUCGCGUCUGAUUAGCUAGUUGGUGAGGUAAAGGCUCACCAAGGCAGCGAUCAGUAGCUGGUCUGAGAGGAUGACCAGCCACACUGGGACUGAGACACGGCCCAGACUCCUACGGGAGGCAGCAGUGGGGAAUUUUCCGCAAUGGGCGAAAGCCUGACGGAGCAAUACCGCGUGAGGGAAGAAGGCUCUUGGGGUGUAAACCUCUUUUCUUAGGGAGGAACAAAAUGACGGUACCUAAGGAAUCAGCAUCGGCUAACUCCGUG
rnacentral:rRNA from 1 species